CACGUAGGGCGCGAGCGUUGUCCGGAAUUAUUGGGCGUAAAGAGCUCGUAGGCGGCCUGUUGCGUCCGCUGUGAAAGCCCGGGGCUUAACCCCGGGUCGGCAGUGGAUACGGGCAGGCUAGAGGUAGGUAGGGGAGAAUGGAAUUCCCGGUGUAGCGGUGAAAUGCGCAGAUAUCAGGAGGAACACCGGUGGCGAAGGCGGGUCUCUGGGCAACAACUGACGCUGAGGAGCGAAAGCGUGGGGAGCGAACAGG
rnacentral:rRNA from 1 species